AUCAAAUUUGUGUCAACCAAUCGGAAGUCUCCACCUCUGCCAAGCAGUCUUCUUUCCAUCUUUGCUGCAAAAUUAUACAAAGAUGGGCGGUUAUAUGUAUUGUAUAUACUUUUUACUGAUAGUAGGAGUAAAAGUCAGUGCUGAAAUUGGAAGACCAAGAGGUGUUUCAAUAUCAAUGGCUUCUAAAUAUGAGCCAAAUGACCAGAAGAUAUUUCGGUGUCUUGAUGGGUCAGGAACAAUUCCAUAUGAACACUUAAAUGACGAUUAUUGUGACUGUGCUGAUGGAUCAGAUGAACCAGGAACCUCAGCUUGUACAAAUGGAAAGUUCCACUGCACAAAUGCUGGGUACACUCCCAAAAAUGUACAGUCCUCAAGAGUGAAUGAUGGAGUGUGUGACUGCUGUGAUGGAUCAGAUGAGUAUGAAGGAAAAAUUGAAUGUGUCAACAAUUGCAAGGAGCUUGGAAAGAAAAUGAGGGAAGAACAAGAUGAGAAAAGAAGAUUACAAGAGGAGGGGUUCAAAAAGAGGGAAGGAUUCAUUGCUGAGGCUAAUAAUAUGAUGGAGGGCAAAAAGUUAAAAAUACAAGAACUUGAAAAGGAAAAAACAGAACUUCAAGAUAAACUGAAAGAGCUUGAAGCCAAAAAGGCAGAGGCUGAGGGUCCUGAAAAGGAGGCCAAAGACAAACAUGAACAGGCCUGGAAAGAACAAAAGGAGGUUAGAGACAAGGAGAGAAGUGCAAUCAAGGCCAGGGAAGCCUUUGAUGAACUAGAUCUAAACAAGGAUGGAUUUGUUGAUGUCCUUGAGAUCAUUCCCCACAUGGAGUUUGACAUUGAUUCUAAUGGAGUUGUGAGUGAAGAGGAGGCCAAGGAACAUUUAGAAGACAAUGAGAAAGUUGACUUUGAUGAGUUUAGUUCAAGAAUCUGGGGAAAUAUUCAGAGUAUCUACAAGAAACUUGUACCAGAUGAUCAAAAGGAAGUCCCUCCACCCCCUGUGGAACCCCAGGGUGAAACAGGUGUACCAGCCCCAACUGAAGAACCACAGGCCACACCCCAUAUCACACCCAUUCCUGAUGAGGGUGAUGAUUACGAUGAUGAGGAUGAUGAAGAUGAGGAUGAUGAGGUAAGAAGAUGCAGUGGAUGAGGAUAAAAUGCCUGAGUAUGAUGAGGAGACCAAAGCUCUUAUUGCAGCUGCUGAUGAAGCGAGAAAAAACCAUGAGGAAGCGGAUAAACGCUCACGAGAUAUUGACGGGGAGAUUACAACACUGACCUCAUAUUUAAACACAGAUUAUGGAAAAGACAAAGAAUAUGCAAUAUUGCGAGACAACUGUUAUGAAUAUACCGACCGGGAAUAUACAUACAAGUUGUGCCCUUUCGCUACUGCCUCCCAAAGACCAAAGGCUGGAGGUCACGAAACCAACUUAGGGCGUUGGGGCAGAUGGGAGAAUGAUUACAAGGUUCAAGUUUACGACCACGGACAAAACUGCUGGAACGGUCCAGACCGAUCAGUCAAGGUCCAUUUAACCUGUGGUCCGGAACACCAACUGACCAAUGCUUAUGAGCCAAGCCGCUGUGAAUAUGCAUUUGACUUUAUCACACCUUGUGCCUGUAAUCAGCCUCCUCAACCACAAGAUAAAGACCCACACGAUGAGUUGUAGAGAAUAGAUAAGAGAAACAUCCACAUGAAGAGUUGAUAUUACUAUACACAACAGAAUCAGAGAUUUUGUAAAUGCAAAAAACACUAGAUAUUUUUUUUAUUUUUGAGUGUUAACACAAGUGAAAAUCAUGCAUUAUUCUAAAUUUUGUUAUUUGUUAAUUACUCUCAUACUUAUAUUAAUUUUUUUUUUCCAAUUUCCAAUUAUGCUGUAUGGAAUCUAAAGUGAAAAAUUUUUGUUUGUUGUAAAAAUGCAUGUAAAAAUCACUACAUUGUAUUAUUAAAAUGUGAUAUGAUUUAUUCAAUUGAGUUGAAUUUUUGGUCCUAUUAAGCUUUUUACAGGAUGUAAUGCUUAUCAAUUUCAGGUCUAAGGUUAACAUUCAAACUUUUUUGAUUUUAUUAAAUAUUUUGUUUCUGCCCAAAUCAACAUUUGUACUUAAUAGCACUAUAUUGUCUCCAAGUCCCAUAAAUGUAUUGAUUAUCUGUAAAAUAAAUUAUGAUUACCUAUAAAGGAAAUGAAGUUAAUUGAACAUAAAUUGUAAUCUGGUGGCAAUAAAUUUCCUCUGUGCAUUU
rnacentral:misc_RNA from 1 species